rnacentral:lncRNA from 1 species
GAUGGCGUUAAGCCUCUGAAAUCAGAAUCCUGCAGUGUCACAAGAGUUUGCUAUCAUCUCACAUUUAAUCACUUAUUGUUUCUAUUAUUGCUGGUAGUUUUCCAUUGUAACCACUACCUGAGCACAAUUUAAUUACCUGGUGCAGCAAUUUAAAUUAAAUUAAGUUAAUUUAGAAGGGACCAUUUAAAGAAGGAUAUUAUACUAGAGUAUAUUAAUUAACACUUAUUAAAAGUAAUUUUUAAGCCCAGGAGUGCCACACCAAGCUUCAUGGCUGGUAAAAAUUAUAAUGUUAAGAAAGAGAAAAUAAUGAAGUGUGUUAUUGAUUUUCUUAAUGUUAUAUUCUGGCAGAAUGAGAUAAAUGUUAUUGAUCCAUUGGUUUUACAUUAUCUAUUUUCCCUAUAGACUGUUAUAUCUUUACCAUGUGUUAAUAAAUCUAUUUAAGAAAAAAUACAAGCCUUUAAAUCAAUUAGUCCUAUUUCUAGGAAUAUAAGUGCAAAAAUUAAUCCUACUUCUAGGAGUGUAAAUGCAAAAAUUAUAUGGAAAGAUGCCCACCAUAGAUUAUUUAUGAUAAUAAAAAAUAUCAACCUUUGGUAAUAUGUUAAAUCAAUUGAGAUACAGUCCUAUGAAAAAAUAUUGCACAGUCAUUUAAAAAGAGGUUUAAUAUGAAUUUCAGUUAAAUAGAUUAUAAAUGCAAUACACAAAUGUAUACACAUACAACAUUAACAUAUGUAAACAUAUCAAUGCUUAGUAAUUAUUCCUGAUUGUGUGUUUUAUAUGUUUUCUUCUUUCUUCUCUUUUGUAUUUUCCUAAUUUUCUUCAGUGACUAUGUAUUAUAUUUGCUUUUGGAUAAGACUGAGAAAUAUAUUUAAAAGGUGGAAGUAUUGAUCAGUCAUGAGUUCUAGCAGCACUGCUAUGUGUAGGGCAGAUUUUUUUCUAUGAUAGACCUGGUCAGUUCCUACUCCCAGAGAGCUAUGAACACACACCCUAGUGGUUUUCUUAAAAUUGGCCUUUCAGUUUGAACACAUGAUUGUUUCCUCCAUUCAAAUGUAGCAGGCAAAAUAAAAUAUGCAUGUAGUGAGUGUUUCAUUGGCAUAUCAACCAUUUACAGAAAUUGAAAUCUUUUUAAGUGACGUUUUUCAUUUCAGAAAAAAGAAGCUCAUAAAAUCAAUAAAUUUGGUAGCUUGAAAUGAUCUUUUCCAUCAUGUUCUCUCCAUCUUAUUUCUUGCCUUACUGCUCUGGCCAGCACUUAAGAGUAUUAUAUUUGGUGAGAGUGGUAAGGAUGACACUUUGGUCUUGUUCCUGUUCUUAGAGGAAAAGCGUUCAUCCUUUUACCAUUGCAUAUACUUUGCGGACUUGUUGUAUGUGGCCUUUAUUGUGUUGAGGUACAUUUGUUCUAUACCUGAUUUGUUUAGAGUUUUUAUCAAGAAAGGAUAUUGAAUUUCGUUAAAUGCUUUUUCUGCAACCAUGGAGAAAAUCAUGUUUUUUUCUUUCGUUCUGUUACUGCAACUUACCACAUUCAUUGAUUUAAUUGAUUCAUUAAUAUAAGAUUAAACCAUCCUUGUAUCCCAGGGACGAAUUCCACUUAAUCAUAAUGUUUACUGUUUCUUCAUUUGUCUGGAUGAUCUAUUCAUUGUUGAGAGAGAGGUGUUGAGAGCAAUAUAACAUUAUAGCUCCAAACAUUAUUGUUGGAGAAUAUAACAUUAUUGCUCUUUAUUUCUAUAUUAUCCCUGCUAGUAUUUGUUUUACAAAUGUAGAUGCUCCUGGGUUGGGUGCAUAAAGGUUUGCAAUUGUUAUAUCUUCUUCAUGGACUGACCCUUUUAUUAUUAUAAAAAUAAUUUUUACAAUUUUGUCUCUUUUGACCACUUUUAAUUUAAAGUCUAUUUCCUCUGAGACAUAUACAGAUAUAGAUAUAGAUAUAUAUCUUUCUUUUGGUUGAUAUUUGCUUGAAAUAUUUUUUUUCAUCCCUUCACGUUCAGUCUAUGUGUUUUCUUAAAGCUAAAGUAGGUCUCUUAUAGGUAGCAUGUGGUCAGAUCUUGUUUUUGAUUCACUCAGCUAUUCUGUCUUUGAUUGGAGAAUUUAAUCCACUUACAUUUUAAAGUAAUUGUUGAUAGACAAGGACUUCUUAUUGCCACUUUGUUAUUUUUUUUUCUGUUUUGUAGAUUCCUUGUCUCUUGCUUCCUCUCUUGGUGUCUGCUUUGAUUCCUACUUGUAGCAGUGUACUUGCACUCCUUUAUCUCCUCAGUUGGACAGGGGUCCAGAGUUCCUUUUCUGGUGGGGCCAGAUGCUGUGCUUCAGGAUUGUAUGGAGUCACUGGCUGGGCUGCCUGCCUGGGCAAGACUAUUGGCUGGGUUGUGCUAUGGGGCGGAGAUGUUGGCUGAUGCACAAUAGACUGGGUUCCUGAGGCUGUCCAGGGUCAUGAAACAGGCCCCCUGGAUGUGCAGGACCUUAAUAACAGCUGGAUGGGCUGCUGGCUCAAUUUCCUGCUCAAGUGCAGCCAUAGGCUCUUCAAUUGUGGGGAGUCUCUGCUUGUAGUAGCCUUUGGAGAAGGGUCUUGAAAAUUUGAGAAUUGACUGGCCUUUGGAGAACAGUGUUCUGUGUAGACAAUUGAGUUGUGAAUAUGCAAGGGGUAAACCAGGUGCUGGGAACUUUUUUUGCAUGAUCUUCAAUAUGCAUUAUCCUAAAUUAAGAAACUUUGAUAAAUUGCAUAAGAGUCAGACUUCCUUAGCAAUUAGCACAGUUCAUUUUGAUUUAGUUUCUAAAUAGGAACAGUGGGUCAAAAUGGGUAGGUCAGACUGACCAGAUCAAAAAAUAAAUUACAGUUCCAGGUCACUCCAGUCUGUUGACUUAUUUAAACUUCCUUCCCCCCAUGCACCUUUAUUGUCUUAUUUGAUUUAAAGUGCAAUCCAGAAGUAAAGCUUCUAUACAAAUAUGUAACUGACUUGUUUUGAAUGAAAUGUUUUUUUUCUGUUAUUAUCUAGAUGCUUUGUUUGGAUGGAAACAUUGACAGACAAAUUAGGUAGGAAACAUUGCUAACCCGCCUUACUGAGUUCUAUAUUGUAACCUAUUAUCAUUAUUACAAUUCAUUUGUCACCUUCCUACACCCUACCUUUUCUUAAAACAACUCAACAAAAUGACACACACACAAAAUAAACAAGCAUUUACUGACACAUAAAACAUAUUUCAUUCAUAUAGUUUAUUUGAUUAAGAAAGGUAUAAAACAAAGAUCUUACAAUAGAAAUAGAAAGUUAAAAAGUCAUAUAAAAUAGGACAUGCAAAUGUAUGAGAAAAAAGUAACUUAUACGAUUAAGCAUAAUUUUAGCUGUGAAAUUCCAAAGAGAAGAGUGGGCAAAGUGUGUAAUUCCUAUUAUCAGACCAGAUAAAAUAUGUAAAUUUUUGAAGAAAUUCCAUUCUACCCGACAUUAAAGUCUGUAAAGGAAUUUAUCACAUGGCUUCUAAAAGCAAGAGGUAAAGAGAGUAGAUGAUAACAUUUAAACAAUGGAUUUGUAAAAGAUGCAAAAAUUGUUCAUAGAACAUUCUAUCUAUGUAUUUUCAAUGAAUGCCAAAAGCAAUUAAACUAAUGCUGACUGAAAGUAUGUUGGUAAUUUGGUGUGUAUAUGUGUGUGGGUUUUACCUGUUAUCAAAGUCAAGCCUUGAGAUAACUGAUCAACAAAGGACAAGAGACAGAUUGUUCCUUACAUAGUCUUUGUCAAAUACCAGUUUUCUUCUUGAGGACUGCUGACCAAACUAAAACACACAACAUGAGAACUCUGAGUUCAGUUUUAUUGGGGGCAUUCCCACUCAGUUUUAUGGGAGACGUUCUUGCAGUGGCUCUGAGGAACUGCUCCGGAGAGCAGGGGGAGGCCAGUACAUUUGUGAUUUUGGUGAAGGGGGCCAUGUAUUCAAACCCACAUCUGGGAGAAGAUUGCCACUAACCUCGAGAAACAAAUGUCUCCAUGGACAAUUUGUAAGGAAUUGGGUUCAUAAAAAUCUUCUCCUGAUGUAUCUAACUAUCUAAAUACCUGUUCUGCCAGUUUUCCCAGGGCACAGAGAAAAUGCCUGAUUCCUGAUCUCAGCCCUGAGCUCCUCUCGGGGUGUGUUGAAAGUCAGCAACUUCAGGGCUUAUUGAUUUCGUCAUUGUAGAACUUCAAGUUGAGUGACUUGUUUUUAGUUGUCAGGUCCUGGAGGGUCAUUGAUAGAAAGUUAAACUUCCUUUCCAUAGCUUGAGGUGCAAAAUGCCAGCCUGCUACAUUGAGGGUAAAGGAAGAAACAUGUUAUUUGGAAUCUAGCCAGAUGUGUAACAAGCUUUCUCUUCCCUUUGUUGUAUUUCCUCAUCUUCAUUCUCCUCUUUUCUCUGCAUUUCCUUGUACUUGAGCAACAUUCUAGGCUCUCCCAGGUAAAUCCCAGUGAACGGGUUAUAUCUCAGGUUCUGCCUCAGAACCUCCUCUAUCUCCCCAGUUAAACAUGGCAGGCCAGAGGAGAUGCUUAAUUCCCUGUGGGUAGAGAGCAGAGGAGGAGGUGAGUGAAAAUUAGCAGUCUAUGAGAAACUGAUCCUGUAGAAGAUGGAACAAAUCUAUUAGUACAUUUCCAUUUAUACUUUUGUACUCAGUUUAACUAUCUUUGUUCUAGUGUUUCAGAAGUAAAAUGCAGUGCUUUUGCUCCAUGUAUCCAAAGGAUAAGUUCUUGGCUUCCUAUAGAAUACCAGAGAGAUUUAGUAUCUUAAUCUUUUCCUUUUCUCUGUCUGAGAGGCAUAUAGUUAGUAUGAAUUAUAAAACCACAUAUGUUAACAGGGAAAAGCAUGAAAACCAUUUUGAGUUUUACUUGCAGGUUGGAAGAGCCAAUAAUAGAGUUUUCUGAUGGUAACAAGUUCAGCUGAUUGUAUAACUGAAAUACCCUAUUAGCAGAAGUGCAUCUGGCCACGCUGUUGUCCAGUUUCUCUUCCAGAGAUCAGACAGAAAAGGAAGCUUUGGUAAAUGGGGACCUCCCCACCCACAGAAUUAUCUGAUGAGUCUGAUAAUCAUCUUAGCCUUCCUAUGCCUUGUAGUUACCAUCAAGAGGUACUCAGAAGCAAAACAAUAGUUCAGGUUGCUUAAACUGGUGACAAUCAAAAUCUAAUUCUUCAGGGAUUUAGAUCAGACAUCAUUUACAUAGCAGAGCUGUCCCUAUCCCUACUUCCAUCAGAAAUUCCUCCUUGAAAUACUUUAUUUCUUCUCUUUCUGUGAUACCUCACUAAAUAUCUUGAAAAUAUGUGCAAAAUAAACUUCAGAUUAAAGUUUAACUUAACAUAAGGACAGUUAUGUUCUGUCAGAAGUUUAAGUCAUUAAGCUUUAGUUAAAGAGUAUAGAGAAGAAUCAUUAAAGGAGCAUAUUAAGUUUGAUUUAGAUUCAGUAAGUAGUUCAAAUAGAUCAUUAAAUAUGUUAGUCAGUGUCUAUACUGGACACUCAAUAAAUAUUUAUUGAAUGAAAUUGAAAAUUAUAAUAGUGUUAUCAUUUAGAAUUUAAUUAUUUUCACUUUGUUGGUUCAAAAUGAAAAGACAGGAAUGUUCAUUAUGCCCUAGUUUUUCAUCUCUAGUCUUAGAGGUACCUACCUCCUCAGUGGAUGAUGGUAACUCUGUUAAAGUGGGUUAAGUAGUAUAAGACACUUAAAAAGCAUUGUCCAGAGUUCCCCUUGUGUCUCAGUGUGUUGACCCAACAUAAACUCUGUGAGGAUGUGGGUUCAAUUCUUGACCUCGCUCAGUGGGUUAAGGAUCUGGUGUUGCUGUGGCAUAGGCUGGCAGUUGCAACUCCAGUUCAACCCCUAGCCCGGGAACUUCCAUAUACUGCAGGGGCAGCCAUAAAAGAAAAAAAAAAAAAAAAGCAUUGUCCAAUAUACCUGACAUUUGCUUAGGUAUAUUUAUGUUUAUAUGAAACAUGCAAUUUUUAUAAAUGGCACCUCUUAAAAUAUAGGAACAAGUUAUUUUGAGGCAUAAUAGAAACAAUGUUCUUUUGCUUUUGUAACAAAGCAGCUUGUCAUCAUUUGUUCUCUUUAAACAAUAUGAAACACAAUUUAGGCAUUGUAUGUGUCUGUUAACACCAAGCCAAAAGUACCAACAUUGGGAAAUUCAGAAUGAGUUUAAAAGUGCAUGCACAGACACACACACACACACACACACACACACACACACACACACAUUCCCACACACAAUUUUUCUAAUUAAAAAAUAUCUAGAAUAUGGAGUUUCUAUUGUGGCUCAGCAGAAAUGAACCCAACUAGUAUGCAUGAGGAUGUGGAUUCUAUCACUGGCCCUGCUCAGUGGGUUAAGGAUCCAGCAUUGCCAUGAGCUAUGAUGUAGGUCACAGACAUGACUCAGAUCCUGAGUUACUGUGGCUGUGAUGUAGGCCAGCAGCUGUGGCUCUGGUUCCACCCCUAGCCUGGAAACUUCCAUAUGCCACAGGUGCAAGCCUGAAAAGCAAAAAA